AGCUCCAAUAGCGUAUACUAAAGUUGUUGCAGUUAAAAAGCUCGUGGUUGGAUUCGUGGUGUGUCCAGUUGGCCUUUGUUCUUUGAGUGAUAGUGCUGUGACUGAUCUGCCAUGUUUGGGCAGAAUUUGUGUUGCAUUAAGUUGUCGUGCAGGAGAUGCCAAUUGUUUACUGUGAACAAAUUAGAGUGUUCUAAGCAGGCUUGUGUCUCGGAAUAUACUAGCAUGGAAUAAUAAUAUAGGACCUUGGUACUAUUUUGUUGGUUUGCGCACUGAGGUAAUGAUUAGGAGGAGCAGUUGGGGGUAUUUGUAUUCCAUUGUCAGAGGUGAAAUUUCUUGAUUUUUGGAAGAAAAAUUACUGUGAAAGUAUUUACCAAUGAUCUUUUCA
rnacentral:rRNA from 1 species